CACAUAGAGUAAAAAGUCAUACUGAAAUCGAUUUCCUGGUCCUUCAUUUUAGUUUAACUAAUUUGAAGUAGAGGAAGAAGAAUGAUGAAGGAGGGAGAAGGAGUUGAGGGUGAUUUUUCCUAUGGCACUGGGGUUACAGUUCUCACCCACGUCGGACAACAGACAACCACUUGCAACUCCAGCUACAGAAAGUUUAACACCUGCUUCUAUACAUAUAUGUGAAAGCUCACAAACAAUCACAUAUAUAAAAAAAUGAAACGAAUGUGUGAUUUAGAAAUAAGACUCCAGAUAAAAAUUAAAUAAAUUGCUCAGUAUGUCAAAGGAAAGUUUAACUUCACUUGAAUUUGAAAUGGGAGACAGGAUAUCUAAUACAUAUCUAAUACAUCACUAUAAAUAUUAGUCUUGGUGACAUCAUGUUCAGAUAAUGGUAGGUACCAAAUUAAUGAACCAAAAGAAUGAGACAUUUACUGUUUUAUGACUAUCUGCUACUCAUAAUCUAAGUAUAUAGAUUUUCAUAUAUCUUUUAUUAUAUAAAAGAAGACAAAGAAAAUUCAAUAUCUGGGAUCUAAUUAUUACUUAUAAAAUAUUUUUAAAAUUCUAGUACAUAGUUUAUUGAAUGCUUAUUGUAAAAUAAUUUAUUUUUGGAUUAACGAAACUCUCUAUAGUAUCUCAGUCUGGCAAAAAAAAAAUAGGUGCUAUUAGCUUCAUUAUGCAGUUACGCACCAUAUGUUCCAAGUAUUCUCUUCUAUUGCAUUACCAACAGUAGGGUAGCCACAUGAUGCAUCAGUACAUUUGUUUUUAACUGAAUCUCAGAAAUUCCACAUAAGCGAUAUUUAACUGAAUCUCAGAAAUUGCACAUAAAUGGUAUUGACUAAUGAUUAACCAACUUGUCUCUUCUCACCUGUGUUUUACAACUGUGAUAUAUUCUUCUGUUUAAAAUGAGAACUUUUGGAUUUAUUAUGAUUCACAGAUUUACAUUUGGUUAGGAAAGAUAUUAAUGGGGUGGUUGAAAUCCCUCAGUGCUGAAGAGCACAGGACACUCUUUCACAGCACCUUGAUUUGAUUUCCAGAACCCACAUGGUGUUUCACAACUGCCUGUAACUCCACUUCUAGGUGUCUGAUGGCUUUUUCAGCCAAGGAACAGUGCCUGCGUGUGUCACAUGGACAGGCUUGCAGUCAAAACAUUUACACAUAGUAAAUUUUAAAAAGAAGGAAAAGGUAUUUUUUUUAAGAAGAGAGUAGCCUAAAUUCUAUACAUGUAACAGUCAAUAUGUUUUAUUGCUAUUUUAUAUUAUGAUCCUAACUUUACCAAGCUUUUAUUUCACGAUUACAUUCAUAGUUAAUAUGGAGUUAUGUAUGUAAAUGAGUAAAUGAAAGCUUAGGAACUUUCUAUUGUUUCUCUUCACAAUUCAUACAAGGGACUUCAGUGAUGCUGUUUAAAAGAUCUCCCACUUUUAAAGUAAUUGCCCAAAAUCUUAAUCUGAUCUGGAGAGGUUUAAUGGGAUAGUAAAAUAUGUAUGAACAACUAUGGAGUAUGGGGUAAGAGGACCUUUUCUGCCAUAUUUAAAGUGAUUUGUGUAGAUUUUGCUCCACCUGGAUCCAGUGUGCAUUACAUAUUUCUCUUCAAAAAUUUCUAUUCCCUCACGUCUAGUGCAGUUUUACUUCUUGAUAAUUUCCUUGAUAAUAUGGUCUUUCACUGGAAAUGUCUGUACACUUCCUCAUAUUCAGGAAGGAUUUUCCACUAUGUCAUAUCUGCAGCAUGCCACACAGAAAAAUGAAUUUUUACCACUGUCUUCUAUCAAUCUCCCAAACCUUUAAAUGACAGAAAACUCCUUUAUAGCUUAGUGUUAAGCCAGGUCACGUUAAGUGAAUUGUUUUUCAGCUUGAUUGGUAGAUAUAUUGAAAGUCUAUGUCUUCCAGGAGAGCUGGAGUCUUAUUCCCUCUUGAUGUAAGGUUUCCUUGUAAAAGGCUGGAAUGCAAAUGAUUUUAUUUUUCUUCAAUAAUUUAAUAAAUGUGACUGUAUGAGUACAGUAUAGAAGCUUGUAGAAGAUACUGGAAGAAUCUGUGUCAAGAAUGCUGCCUCCCCUUUUGGUUCUCAUUGCCUCAUGAGAAAAACAGAUAUUAAACCAAUAACCACAGCAAUGAAUAAUUACAAGUCAUACUGAUUGCAGAAAUAGAAAGACGUAUAAUACAGCCACUGAACACUUUUAUGCUAAGAAUUUCAAGUUGAGACUUCAAAGAGGGCUGGCAUGAAGAAUGACAUCCACAGAGGAGCAGAUGGGAGGAAUAUCCAUGUGUGAUAUCCAGGAGAAUGAGCACAGGGGAAGAAAACAAACUCAGGGCAUCUUGAACAUGACUCAAGUCAUGUUCACUCUAAGCACCGUGAGAGGCCAAGAAGUGGAAGCCAUCUUAAAUAAUGCAUUAUAUUUCUACUAGGUUGACUAAUCAGGAAGUCAUUCUUAACUUUCUCAUGGGUUGGUGAAUCCCGAUAAUAUAAUAAUGUAUUUGUUUUCCAGCAGAACAACAAUUUGCCCACCACCUUUACUUUAAAAGUUCAAUGUCCAUAAAUACACAUAACAAAUACUAUAUGAGCUUUUAAAUAUUUCUGAAGAUCAUGGGUGACUCAGUUAACCUAUGUAUUCACAACUGGCAACUUUAACUUAUUUUAACUUCAAACACUAGCCAGCAACAUGCAGCAGGGAUGCUAGGUUAUGUAAGUUGUUAAUGGGGCAACUAAAAAUAAACAAACAGCCAAACUCCAUGCAAAUAUAUAUUUAAUGAAAAAUAUUAGAAAAGGUGGGCUUACAAAGCUUUUGAUUUGACAUUAAUAAACAAUAAGAGAUUUUAGAAACGAGUCUGAAGGGAUGGUUCUGUAGUUAAGGACACUGACCUCUCACACGGAGGAUCUAGCCUCAGUUACCAACAGUCAUAUGGUAGCUCUCAACUGUUACAUGCAGUCAAUCGCUUUUGCUUAUC
rnacentral:lncRNA from 1 species